rnacentral:lncRNA from 1 species
UACCAGUUCUGGAUGCAGACACUUCAUUGACUCAGUAGGGAUUGGUAGUUAAUAACUCUAAACUAUAUAUAAUAAUAAAUAAUUCUAAAUUAUCUGAAGAUACAAUUCAAGCUGCUGAGCAUUUCUAGACCAACCUCAAUAUUCUCUAUUACAAGAGAAUUCUAUUCUUUAAUACUCUACCAUGAGUAUGUAGGCAGUUCAUCAUCUGCAUCUGUAUGACCAUAUGUAAUUUAGCUUGACAGGAGUUUGCUUCAGGCAGUAUGGCAAAACCUCAGUAACAUAUAUACAGAAUAGAAACUAGUCAAGAUGGCUAAGCUUCACAAUUCCCCAAUGGCAUGGUGUUGGACAGGGGAUAAAAAUGGUGGAUGUCACCUUGUCCCCCUGUUGUUACUAUACAGUGUUACUGCCUGCAAAAUGAUCCCCUCCUGUCCUGCCAGAAGGCCACUGCAUAUAUCUGCUUCUCUCUCUGCAAGAAUGAACAUGGUAAGGAACACCCACUUUGGCACAAUGUAGGAGAUGUGGGAUGGGCUACAACUCCUUCUCUUUCAAAGGCACCAGCUGUGAGCUUAAAGAAGGGGCACAGCCCACCAUGGCUCAACUUGCAACAUGGGAACAACAGCCCUUCCUGCCAGGAGCUGGGGAAGGUGACCACACACAGGGUGUGAUGUCUGGGGAUGUGUUCAUGGUGUGAGCAUCAACCCCUAAAGUCAAGUUGUGAGUGGUGUGGUGCCUGUAGGACCCAGUUCCCCGUGCAUUCUGGGGAGAGGGUUUAUCCUUGUUCCAUCAGAAUGGACCAGUCUACAUGGGAUAAGUGCACUCUCAGCAUCAAAGGGUAUUUAAAGUUAAUUGAGAUCAAGUCAGGCCAUCUGCCAGGCACCAUGACAAAUCCUCUCCAUCCACUGUGCAGGGAGCCAAGGUCCUGUACAUUUCCAUUGCAGGUAUUCCAUUCUCUAAGCUGGCUGACCAUUACAGACUUUGAUGAGGAAGGGACCAGGGUCAUCCAGGCAUCUGUGGACCUCAGGAUGAAAACUAUUAACUUACAUGCUUAAAAUAAAUCAGUGUUUGGAGGUUUGUUGAAUCA